rnacentral:rRNA from 1 species
GUGAGGAAUUUUCGGCAAUGGGCGCAAGCCUGACCGAGCAACGCCGCGUGCAGGAGGACGCUUUUCGGAGUGUAAACUGCUUUUAUCGGGGAAGAGAACAGACGGUACCCGGUGAAGAAGCCCCGGCUAACUACGUGCCAGCAGCCGCGGUAAUACGUAGGGGGCGAGCGUUGUCCGGAGUUACUGGGCGUAAAGGGCAUGUAGGCGGUCUGCUAAGUUCGGAGUGACAGUCACCAGCUUAACUGGUGAAGGACUUUGAAAACUGGCAGACUUGAGAGCGAAAGAGGGACACGGAAUUCCGGGUGGAGCAGUGAAAUGCGUAGAGAUCCGGAGGAACACCAAAGGCGAAGGCAGUGUCCUGGCUCGUUUCUGACGCUGAGGUGCGAAAGCCAGGGGAGCGAACGGGAUUAGAAACCCUAGUAGUCC